UUGACGGGGCCCGCACAAGCGGUGGAGCAUGUGGUUUAAUUCGAAGCAACGCGAAGAACCUUACCAGGUCUUGACAUCCCCUGACAACCCGAGAGAUCGGGCGUUCCCCUUCGGGGGGACAGGGUGACAGGUGGUGCAUGGUUGUCGUCAGCUCGUGUCGUGAGAUGUUGGGUUAAGUCCCGCAACGAGCGCAACCCUCGACCUUAGUUGCCAGCAUUCAGUUGGGCACUCUAAGGUGACUGCCGGCUAAAAGUCGGAGGAAGUGGGGAUGACGUCAAAUCAUCAUGCCCCUUAUGACCUGGGCUACACACGUGCUACAAUGGGCGGUACAAAGGGUCGCGAACCCGCGAGGGGGAGCCAAUCCCAAAAAGCCGCUCUCAGUUCGGAUUGCAGGCUGCAACUCGCCUGCAUGAAGUCGGAAUCGCUAGUAAUCGCAGGUCAGCAUACUGCGGUCGAAUACGUUCCCGGGCCUU
rnacentral:rRNA from 1 species